GAUGAACGUUGGCGGCGUGCCUAAUACAUGCAAGUCGAACGGAGAUUGUAGCAAUACGGUCUCAGUGGCGAACGGGUGAGUAACGCGUUGGUGACCUGCCCCGAAGUGUGGAAUAACAGAUCGAAAGAGCUGCUAAUACCGCAUAAUAUCCAGGAGAUUAGAUGCUUCUGGAUUAAAGGAUUUAUCCGCUUCGGGAGGGGCCUGCGUCCCAUCAGCUAGUUGGUAAGGUAAAGGCUUACCAAGGCGAUGACGGGUAGGGGACCUGAGAGGGUGGCCCCCCACAAUGGAACUGAAACACGGUCCAUACACCUACGGGUGGCAGCAGUAGGGAAUAUUAGUAAUGGGCGAAAGCCUGAACUAGCAACGCCGCGUGUGCGAAGAAGGCCUUCGGGUUGUAAAGCACUUUUUGAGAGGAUGAGGAAGGACGGUACUCUCAGAAUAAGUCUCGGCUAACUACGUGCCAGCAGCCGCGGUAACACGUAGGAGGCGAACGUUAUCCGGAUUUACUGGGCGUAAAGCGCGUGUAGGUGGUUUGGUAAGUAGGGCGUGAAAGCUCCUGGCUCAACUGGGAGAGGACGUCCUAAACUGCCAAGCUUGAGGAUGGUAGAGGGAGGUGGAAUUCCGGGUGUAGCGGUGGAAUGCGCAGAUAUCCGGAGGAACACCAGUGGCGAAGGCGGCCUCCUGGACCACCCCUGACACUCAGACGCGAAAGCUAGGGUAGCAAACGGGAUUAGAGACCCCGGUAGUCCUAGCCCUAAACGAUGUAGACUUGGCGUCGGUGGUUUAAUCGCCAUCGGUGUCGUAGCUAACGCGUUAAGUCUACCGCCUGGGGACUACGGCCGCAAGGUUAAAACUCAA
rnacentral:rRNA from 1 species